GACAGAGGUCCCGAGCGUUAGGCGGAAUCACUGGGCUUAAAGCGUGUGUAGGCGGAUCUGUAAGUAUCUUGUGAAAUCCCACGGCUUAACCGUGGAACUGCUCGGUAUACUGCGGAUCUUGAGCCACCUAGGGGCAACCGGAACAAACGGUGGAGCGGUGAAAUGCGUAGAUAUCGUUUGGAACGCCAAUGGUGAAAACAGGUUGCUGGGGGUGUGCUGACGCUGAGACACGAAAGCGAGGGGAGCAAACGGG
rnacentral:rRNA from 1 species